GCGACCCCAGGACGGGCGAGGCCACCCGCCGAGUUU
rnacentral:rRNA from 4 species